UUACUUAAGUUGUUAACUUUUUUAACGUGUUGAUGGCCGCCAGCCCAGCACCACUGCACAAUAGGGUGGCCACAGUUGAUCUUCCAGAGUCAAGUCAGGUCCCCGCUAACCGUCCAGAGUCAAGUCAGGUCCCCGCGGACCGUCCAGAGUCAAGUCAGGUCCCCGCAAACCGUCCAGAGUCAAGUCAGGUCCCCGCAAACCGUCCAGAGUCAAGUCAGGUCCCCG